UUUUUUAAUAUCUACAGAAAAGUUACUUCCCUCCAAAUCAGUCAUAAAACCAGGUUUCUCAUCUGGUUUUGAAAAGAAAGCCAACUCCCCUCCUGUGGAGUGCAAGCAAGAGCCGACCAAGUCCAACACUCUUCCUCGUGCUGGCGGAGCUCAGGCCAAACGUGCCCUCUUUGAGAGGAUGAACUCCGACCCCGUCAAGCCGAAGGAUUCCAAGCCCAAGCUGAAGCGCUCCCAGAGCUUUGG